UGGGGAAUUUUGGACAAUGGGCGCAAGCCUGAUCCAGCAAUGCCGCGUGAGUGAAGAAGGCCUUCGGGUUGUAAAGCUCUUUUGUCAGGGAAGAAACGGGUGCGGCUAAUAUCUGCAUCUAAUGACGGUACCUGAAGAAUAAGCACCGGCUAACUACGUGCCAGCAGCCGCGGUAAUACGUAGGGUGCAAGCGUUAAUCGGAAUUACUGGGCGUAAAGCGUGCGCAGGCGGUUUUGUAAGUCUGUUGUGAAAUCCCCGGGCUUAACCUGGGAAUGGCAAUGGAGACUGCAAGGCUAGAGUUUGGCAGAGGGGGGUAGAAUUCCACGUGUAGCAGUGAAAUGCGUAGAGAUGUGGAGGAACACCGAUGGCGAAGGCAGCCCCCUGGGUCAAGACUGACGCUCAUGCACGAAAGCGUGGGGAGCAAACAG
rnacentral:rRNA from 1 species